rnacentral:tRNA from 1 species
CUCCCGGUAGCCAAGUUGGUUUAAGGCGCCAGACUGUAAAUCUGGAGAUCGGGUGUUCGACUCACCCCCAGGAGA